AACGAACGCUGGCGGCAUGCCUAACACAUGCAAGUCGAACGAGACCUUCGGGUCUAGUGGCGCACGGGUGCGUAACACGUGGGAAUCUGCCCUUUGCUUCGGAAUAACAGUUAGAAAUGACUGCUAAUACCGGAUGAUGUCGAAAGACCAAAGAUUUAUCGGCAAAGGAUGAGCCCGCGUAGGAUUAGGUAGUUGGUGGGGUGAAGGCCUACCAAGCCGACGAUCCUUAGCUGGUCUGAGAGGAUGAUCAGCCACACUGGGACUGAGACACGGCCCAGACUCCUACGGGAGGCAGCAGUGGGGAAUAUUGGACAAUGGGCGAAAGCCUGAUCCAGCAAUGCCGCGUGAGUGAUGAAGGCCUUAGGGUUGUAAAGCUCUUUUACCAGGGAUGAUAAUGACAGUACCUGGAGAAUAAGCUCCGGCUAACUCCGUGCCAGCCGCCGCGGUAAUAC
rnacentral:rRNA from 1 species